UCAUGCUGAAAUAUUGGCUCCCGUACCAUCAUCAAAGUUAAGCAAUGUCGAGCCUGGUCAGUAUCUGGAUGGGUGACCGACUGGGAAUACCAUGUGCUGUAA